rnacentral:rRNA from 1 species
UACGGAGGAUCCGAGCGUUAUCCGGAUUUACUGGGUGUAAAGGGAGCGUAGACGGAGUGGCAAGUCUGAUGUGAAAACCCGGGGCUCAACCCCGGGACUGCAUUGGAAACUGUCAAUCUAGAGUACCGGAGAGGUAAGCGGAAUUCCUAGUGUAGCGGUGAAAUGCGUAGAUAUUAGGAGGAACACCAGUGGCGAAGGCAGCUCACUGGAGCGCAACUGACGCUGAAGCUCGAAAGUGCGGGUAUCGAACAGG